rnacentral:rRNA from 1 species
UACGUAGGGCGCAAGCGUUGUCCGGAAUCAUUGGGCGUAAAGAGCUCGUAGGCGGCUUGUCAAGUCGGGUGUGAAACCUCCAGGCUCAACCUGGAGACGCCACUCGAGACUGUCAUGGCUAGAGUCCGGUAGGGGAUCACGGAAUUCCUGGUGUAGCGGUGAAAUGCGCAGAUAUCAGGAGGAACACCGAUGGCGAAGGCAGUGAUCUGGGCCGGUACUGGACGCUGAGGAGCGAAAGCGUGGGUAGCAAACAGG